rnacentral:misc_RNA from 1 species
GAAAUGCGAUAAGUAAUGUGAAUUGCAGAAUUCAGUGCAUCAUCGAAUCUUUGAACGCACCUUGCGCUCCUUGGUAUUCCUUGGAGCAUGCCUGUUUGAGUAUCAUGAAAUCUUCAAAGUAAAUCUUUUGUUAACUCAAUUGGUUUCUACUUUGGUAUUGGAGGUCUUUGCAGCUUCACACCUGCUCCUCUUUGUUCAUUAGCUGGAUCUCAGUGUUAUGCUUGGUUCCACUCGGCGUGAUAAGUUAUCUAUCGCUGAGGACACUGUAAAAGGUGGCCAAGGUAAAUGCAGAUGAACCGCUGCUAAUAGUCCAUUGACUUGGACAAUACUUUUAUGAUCUGAUCUCAAAUCAGGUAGGACUACCCGCUGAACUUAAGC